UGUAGGCGGUCAGGUAAGUGGAAUGUGAAAUGCCCCGGCUCACCCGGGGACCGGCAUCCCAAACUGCCUGGCUUGAGUAUGGGAGAGGAUGGAGGAAUUCCUGGUGUAGCGGUGAAAUGCGUAGAUAUCAGGAGGAACACCGGUGGCGAAGGCGUCCAUCUGGCCCAAUACUGACGCUGAGGCGCGAAAGCUAGGGGAGCAAACG
rnacentral:rRNA from 1 species